rnacentral:rRNA from 1 species
UACGGGGGGAGCAAGCGUUGUUCGGAAUUACUGGGCGUAAAGCGCACGUAGGCGGGUUGUUAAGUCAGGGGUGAAAUCCUGGAGCUCAACUCCAGAACUGCCUUUGAUACUGGCAACCUAGAGACUGGAAGAGGUUAGUGGAAUUCCCAGUGUAGAGGUGAAAUUCGUAGAUAUUGGGAAGAACACCAGUGGCGAAGGCGGCUAACUGGUCCAGCACUGACGCUGAGGUGCGAAAGCGUGGGGAGCAAACAGG